rnacentral:rRNA from 1 species
GUCUCUGGGCUGUUACUGACGCUGAGGAGCGAAAGCAUGGGGAGCGAACAGGAUUAGAUACCCUGGUAGUCCAUGCCGUAAACGUUGGGCACUAGGUGUGGGGGACAUUCCACGUUUUCCGCGCCGUAGCUAACGCAUUAAGUGCCCCGCCUGGGGAGUACGGCCGCAAGGCUAAAACUCAAAGGAAUUGACGGGGGCCCGCACAAGCGGCGGAGCAUGCGGAUUAAUUCGAUGCAACGCGAAGAACCUUACCAAGGCUUGACAUAUACCGGAUCGUUCCAGAGAUGGUUCUUCCCCUUUGGGGUCGGUAUACAGGUGGUGCAUGGUUGUCGUCAGCUCGUGUCGUGAGAUGUUGGGUUAAGUCCCGCAACGAGCGCAACCCUCGUUCCAUGUUGCCAGCACGUGAUGGUGGGGACUCAUGGGAGACUGCCGGGGUCAACUCGGAGGAAGGUGGGGAUGACGUCAAAUCAUCAUGCCCCUUAUGUCUUGGGCUUCACGCAUGCUACAAUGGCCGGUACAAAGGGUUGCGAUACUGUGAGGUGGAGCUAAUCCCAAAAAGCCGGUCUCAGUUCGGAUUGAGGUCUGCAACUCGACCUCAUGAAGUCGGAGUCGCUAGUAAUCGCAGAUCAGCAACGCUGCGGUGAAUACGUUCCCGGGCCUUGUACACACCGCCCGUCAAGUCACGAAAGUCGGUAACACCCGAAGCCGGUGGCCCAACCCUUGUGGAGGGAGCCGUCGAAGGUGGGACUGGCGAUUGGGACUAAGUCGUAAC